rnacentral:rRNA from 1 species
AGAGUUUGAUCAUGGCUCAGAGUGAGCGCUGGCGGCAGGCCUAAUACAUGCAAGUCGAACGGCAGCACAGCAGAGCUUGCUCUGUGGGUGGCGAGUGGCGGACGGGUGAGGAAUACAUGGGAAUCUGCCCAGUCGUGGGGGAUAACGUAUGGAAACGUACGCUAAUACCGCAUGCGCCCUUUGGGGGAAAGCCGGGGACCUUCGGGCCUGGCGCGAUUGGAUGAGCCCAUGUUCGAUUAGCUAGUUGGCGGGGUAAAGGCCCACCAAGGCGACGAUCGAUAGCUGGUCUGAGAGGAUGAUCAGCCACACUGGGACUGAGACGCGGCCCAGACUCCUACGGGAGGCAGCAGUAAGGAAUAUUGGUCAAUGGACGCAAGUCUGAACCAGCCAUGCCGCGUGGAGGAUGAAGGUCCUCUGGAUUGUAAACUUCUUUUAUCUGGGACGAAAAAAGGCUUUUCUAAGUCGUCUGACGGUACCAGAUGAAUAAGCACCGGCUAACUACGUGCCAGCAGCCGCGGUAAUACGUAGGGUGCAAGCGUUAAUCGGAAUUACUGGGCGUAAAGCGUGCGCAGGCGGUUUUGUAAGACAGGCGUGAAAUCCCCGGGCUCAACCUGGGAAUGGCGCUUGUGACUGCAAAGCUGGAGUGCGGCAGAGGGGGAUGGAAUUCCGCGUGUAGCAGUGAAAUGCGUAGAUAUGCGGAGGAACACCGAUGGCGAAGGCAAUCCCCUGGGCCUGCACUGACGCUCAUGCACGAAAGCGUGGGGAGCAAACAGGAUUAGAUACCCUGGUAGUCCACGCCCUAAACGAUGUCAACUGGUUGUUGGGUCUCUUCUGACUCAGUAACGAAGCU